UACGAAGGGGGCUAGCGUUGCUCGGAAUCACUGGGCGUAAAGCGCACGCAGGCGGCUUGUUAAGUCAGGGGUGAAAUCCUGGAGCUCAACUCCAGAACUGCCUUUGAUACUGGCGAGCUUGAGUUCGGGAGAGGUGAGUGGAACUGCGAGUGUAGAGGUGAAAUUCGUAGAUAUUCGCAAGAACACCAGUGGCGAAGGCGGCUCACUGGCCCGAUACUGACGCUGAGGUGCGAAAGCGUGGGGAGCAAACAGG
rnacentral:rRNA from 1 species